UACGAAGGGGGCGAGCGUUGUUCGGAAUUACUGGGCGUAAAGGGCGCGCAGGCGGCUCUGAAAGUCAGAUGUGAAAGCCCCGGGCUUAACCUGGGAAUUGCAUUUGAUACUCUGGAGCUUGAGUGUGGGAGAGGAGAGUGGAAUUCCCAGUGUAGAGGUGAAAUUCGUAGAUAUUCGCAAGAACACCAGUGGCGAAGGCGGCUCACUGGCCCGAUACUGACGCUGAGGCACGAAAGCGUGGGGAGCAAACAGG
rnacentral:rRNA from 1 species